CGCAGCGGGCUGGCCGCCGCGUGUGCGCUCCCCGGGCCUGGACACCCGGACGGCCCUCGGCCCCGCCACCGGUCCUCUUUUCAGCGUUAACCGUCCACCCACAAAAGUAAUGGCCGGGCGGAAGCACCAACCAACCUGUCUGCUCGGCUCUAGUGAGCAUGUACAAGGCCUUUUUGGAAAGUUAAGGCAACUCCUAGACUCGUUCUAGAAUAGGCGAGAGCCCGGUAACUGGGGCUGCGCCGGAGAGGGUAGCUAACUGCGCGGCUGGGAAGAGGGAUAUUAAGUUGUUCACCUUUGUACCAGGUUUUGUUUUUGUUUUUUCAUGCAUUCAUGAGACACCGAGGCAGAGGGAGAAGCAGGACUCGAUCCCAGGACCCUGCCGGCGCCCAACCACUGAGCCACCCAGCUGCAUAAUAUUCCCUUGUAUGGACCUACCGCAUCUCGUUUAUCCAUUCAGCCAUUGAUGGAUCCUUGGGCCAUUUCCACAUUUUGGAGACUGAAUGAUGCAGCUAUGAACAUGGGUCUGUGUGUAUCUUCCUUCAACUUCAGUUCCUUUGGGUAAACACCCAGGGGUGGAAUGACUGAGUCAUACAGUGGUCUGUGUUUGAUUUUUUGAGGAACCACCAGACUGUUUUCCACAUUGGCUGCACCACUUUACAUUCCCACCAGCAAUGCACAACAUUCUCCACAUUCUU